AAAUUGAAGAGUUUGAUCAUGGCUCAGAUUGAACGCUGGCGGCAGGCCUAACACAUGCAAGUCGAACGGUAACAGGAAGCAGCUUGCUGUUUCGCUGACGAGUGGCGGACGGGUGAGUAAUGUCUGGGAAACUGCCUGAUGGAGGGGGAUAACUACUGGAAACGGUGGCUAAUACCGCAUAACGUCGCAAGACCAAAGAGGGGGACCUUCGGGCCUCUUGCCAUCAGAUGUGCCCAGAUGGGAUUAGCUA
rnacentral:rRNA from 1 species